rnacentral:rRNA from 2 species
CUUUGCAAUGUGCGAAAGCACGACAAGGUUAAUCCGAGUGUUUCCUGCUAAAGGAAUCUUUUGUCAGUCCUAAAAACACUGAUGAAUAAGGGGUGGGCAAGUUCUGGUGUCAGCCGCCGCGGUAAAACCAGCACCUCAAGUGGUCAGGAUGAUUAUUGGGCCUAAAGCAUCCGUAGCCUGCUAUGAUAGUUUUCGGUUAAAUCCAUAUGCUCAACAUAUGGGCCGCCGGGAAUACUGCAUAGCUAGGGAGUGGGAGAGGUAGACGGUACUCGGUAGGAAGGGGUAAAAUCCUUUGAUCUAUUGAUGACCACCUGUGGCGAAGGCGGUCUACCAGAACACGUCCGACGGUGAGGGAUGAAAGCUGGGGGAGCAAACCGGAUUAGAUACCCGCGUAGU